CGUGUCUUCUCCUUCUUUCGACUUUCAUUCGCGGAAUUUGGUCUCAUCUUCUUUCAUUCCCCUCUCAAAUUUCAGAAACCCUCGUCUCAUUCCCCUCCCCUCUCAAAUUUCAAAAACCCGUUGUCAUCUCUUUCAAUCUCUCUAUCGCUCUCUUCUGCUCACCAUCUCUCUAUUUCGUUGUCUAUCAUGUGACGGUUGAUAGACUGCGCACUCGCACAUUGACGGGGAACCCCUGUUAUUGAUACCCCGAGAAUGCUACCGCCUAGCCACCUCUUUGUGUCGUUCAACUUGCCAAACGUCGACAACACGCCACGCCACCAAGUCGAACCUAAUGUCUGUGGCAAAACCGAGCGUUUACAGCCAAAAGUUGAACCUCAAUGUUGAAUCCCUCUUGUGUUGAGAUUUUUCGUUGGUGAAGCUCGAUAUACGCCAUUAAAGCUAUUGUGGAUAUGUUUUGAAAUAUGAAGAUAAAAUGAAGGAGAAGGGUGAGGUACCAGUUACGUUCAGUCAUUUGGGACCUCCAAAAAGAUGAACAAUUGAAGAGGAAGAAGAGAGAGGGAACAUUCAAAUCAUGAUGACUCUGUUUACCACCACCCUACACUAAAUUCCACUGGAGCUCUACCACCUAGGAAACCUCCAAUGUUGAAAUCAUCAAUUGAAUUUUCAGAGUGAAGCUGAAAUGCAAGGAACAUGCGCAAGGCAGUCGCAGGCAAGGGAAGAGGUAGAGACAUACGAAGAAGAUGAAGACGAGCACGGUGACACCUUAUGUAGGGCAUGCGGUGAGAACUAUGCUUCAGAUGAAUUUUGGAUUUGCUGUGAUAUCUAUGAGAAAUGGUUCCAUGAGAAGUUUGUUGUAUGAAGAAAUGCUUCAGUUUAUCAGUUUUCUUGUGAUGUAUUGAGUUUUCUAAAAUAGGGUAGUAGUUUUUUGUUCAGGUCUGUUAUCAAAGGAUUUUUU